GGGUAGGUACUCAAGUGGUCAACGAGGACAGACUGUAAAUCUGUUGCGCCCGCGCUUCGGAGGUUCGAAUCCUCCCCUGCCCA
rnacentral:tRNA from 1 species